GUCCAGACUCCUACGGGAGGCAGCAGUGGGGGAUAUUGCACAAUGGGGGGAACCCUGAUGCAGCGACGCCGCGUGGGUGAAGAAGCGCCUCGGCGCGUAAAGCCCUGUCAGCAGGGAAGAAAAUGACGGUACCUGAAGAAGAAGCCCCGGCUAACUACGUGCCAGCAGCCGCGGUAAUACGUAGGGGGCAAGCGUUAUCCGGAUUUACUGGGUGUAAAGGGGGCGCAGACGGCGAUGCAAGCCAGGAGUGAAAGCCCGGGGCCCAACCCCGGGACUGCUUUGGAAACUGCCCGGCUAGAGUGCUGGAGAGGUAAGCGGAAUUCCUAGUGUAGCGGUGAAAUGCGUAGAUAUUAGGAGGAACACCAGUGGCGAAGGCGGCUUACUGGACAGUAACUGACGUUGAGGCUCGAAAGCGUGGGGAGCAAACAGGAUUAGAUACCCCUGUA
rnacentral:rRNA from 1 species